rnacentral:rRNA from 1 species
CCUACGGGAGGCAGCAGUGAGGAAUAUUGGUCAAUGGCCGAGAGGCUGAACCAGCCAAGUCGCGUGAGGGAAGACGGCCCUACGGGUUGUAAACCUCUUUUGUCGGGGAGCAAAGCGAGUCACGUGUGACUCAUUGAGAGUACCCGAAGAAAAAGCAUCGGCUAACUCCGUGCCAGCAGCCGCGGUAAUACGGAGGAUGCGAGCGUUAUCCGGAUUUAUUGGGUUUAAAGGGUGCGUAGGCGGAAGGUUAAGUCAGCGGUCAAAUGUCGGUGCUCAACCCCGGCGAGCCGUUGAAACUGGCUGUCUUGAGAUGUCGAGAGGUAUGCGGAAUGCGCAGUGUAGCGGUGAAAUGCUUAGAUAUUGCGCAGAACUCCGAUUGCGAAGGCAGCAUACCGGCGGCGAUCUGACGCUGAGGCACGAAAGCGUGGGUAUCGAACAGGAUUAGAUACCCGGGUAGUC